UGGCCUACGGGGCGCAGCAGUGGGGAAUAUUGCACAAUGGGGGAAACCCUGAUGCAGCGACGCCGCGUGAGCGAAGAAGUAUCUCGGUAUGUAAAGCUCUAUCAGCAGGGAAGAAAAUGACGGUACCUGACUAAGAAGCCCCGGCUAACUACGUGCCAGCAGCCGCGGUAAUACGUAGGGGGCAAGCGUUAUCCGGAUUUACUGGGUGUAAAGGGAGCGCAGGCGGCGCGGUAAGUCUGAUGUGAAAGCCCGGGGCUCAACCCCGGGACUGCAUUGGAAACUGUCGGGCUAGAGUUUAGUUGCGG
rnacentral:rRNA from 1 species